GAAACUGCGAAUGGCUCAUUAAAUCAGUUAUCGUUUAUUUGAUAGUACCUUACUACUUGGAUAACCGUGGUAAUUCUAGAGCUAAUACAUGCUAAAAACCUCGACUUCGGAAGGGGUGUAUUUAUUAGAUAAAAAACCAAUGCCCUUCGGGGCUCCUUGGUGAUUCAUAAUAACUUAACGAAUCGCAUGGCCUUGUGCCGGCGAUGGUUCAUUCAAAUUUCUGCCCUAUCAACUUUCGAUGGUAGGAUAGUGGCCUACCAUGGUUUCAACGGGUAACGGGGAAUUAGGGUUCUAUUCCGGAGAGGGAGCCUGAGAAACGGCUGCCACAUCCAAGGAAGGCAGCAGGCGCGCAAAUUACCCAAUCCCGACACGGGGAGGUAGUGACAAUAAAUACUGAUACAGGGCUCUUUUGGGUCUUGUAAUUGGAAUGAGUACAAUUUAAAUCCCUUAACGAGGAACAAUUGGAGGGCAAGUCUGGUGCCAGCAGCCGCGGUAAUUCCAGCUCCAAUAGCGUAUAUUAAAGUUGUUGCAGUUAAAAAGCUCGUAGUUGAACCUUGAGCCUGGCUGGCCGGUCCGCCUCAC
rnacentral:rRNA from 1 species